GCACAUCCUGGAUUCAGUUCAGAGGAUGAUGCAAGUUUAGUUUGUUGCAUCCUGCAAGGCCGUCACAUCUUCUACUAUAAUUCAUCAUGGGACCACCAAGGUGGACACUUGGGUACCAGGAAUGGGGGAGACUGGGAUCAAACCACUAGCCUUUGUGGUUAGUGGACGACCCGCUCUACCUUCUGAGCCACAGCAGCCCAUGAACACAUGCUAAGCAGCUGCGACAAGGAUCAACACAGGCCGAAGGAAAUUUUUCAGAACGUUCUAGUUCAAUGUAUAUUUACCACUGACCUGCUAGGAAAAAGAAUUUGAAAAUAAAGAAAUGUAUUAAAAGUUUA